rnacentral:lncRNA from 1 species
UCUGGACAAAAGCACCCACGUUUGCAAGAUUCAAUGCAGUGACGGCAGAAAGUGUAUGGGCAUGAAGAUUCAAAGAAAAAGAUGCGGCCGUUGAAAGAUUUAUAUGCUCCUUUGCUCCAGGUACCUGAACCACUAAGGCCAGUUUCACCAAAUUCAUUUAGUCCAGAAGCACCAACACCAAGUUCAUCUGCACUCUUACCUCCUCCACCACUUCCAGAAUCAGAAGACCAAGUGUUUCCUCCUAAUGGAAAUCAAAAUUCUCUGGAUCAGAAUUCCUGAGUCACUGACAUGAGCACCAAGGUCAAUGGAUUCACAACUAGUGAACUCCUUGUUCUUGUUUCUA